GGGUGAUUGGCCGUGUUGGCUGGUCAGGUGUCUACGUUGGUCGGGCCGCCAGCG
rnacentral:ncRNA from 1 species